rnacentral:rRNA from 1 species
AGAGUGAACGCUGGCGGUAGGCCUAACACAUGCAAGUCGAACGGCAGCACAGUAGGAGCUUGCUCUUACGGGUGGCGAGUGGCGGACGGGUGAGGAAUACAUCGGAAUCUACCUUUUGGUGGGGGAUAACGUAGGGAAACUUACGCUAAUACCGCAUACGCCCUUCGGGGGAAAGCCGGGGACAGCAAUCGCGU